AUCCGCGGCCAUAGAACUGUGAAAGCACCGCAUCCCGUCCGAUCUGCGAAGUUAACCACAGUAUCGCCUAGUCAGUACUACGGUGGGGGACCACGUGGGAAUCCUGGGUGCCGCGGUU
rnacentral:rRNA from 1 species